AACGUACGCUGGCGGCACGCCUAACACAUGCAAGUCGAGCGAGGUAGCAAUACCUAGCGGCAGACGGGUGAGUAACAUGUGGGAAUCUGCCUUUUGGUUCGGAACAACACGGGGAAACCUGUGCUAAUACCGGAUAAGUCCUAACGGAGAAAGUUUUAAUGCCAAAAGAUGAGCCCGCAUUUGAUUAGCUAGUUGGUAAGGUAAAAGCUUACCAAGGCGACAAUCAAUAGCUGAUUUGAGAGGAUGAUCAGCCACACUGGGACUGAGAUGCGGCCCAGACUCCUACGGGAGGCAGCAGUGGGGAAUCUUGCACAAUGGGCGAAAGCCUGAUGCAGCGAUGCCGCGUGAGUGAAGAAGGCCUUUGGGUUGUAAAGCUCUUUUGUCGGGAAAGAUAAUGACUGUACCCGAAGAAUAAGGUCCGGCUAACUUCGUGCCAGCAGCCGCGGUAAUACGAAGGGACCUAGCGUAGUUCGGAAUUACUGGGCGUAAAGAGUAUGUAGGCGGCUAGAUAAGUUAAUUGUGAAAGCCCAAAGCUUAACUUUGGAAUUGCAAUUAAAACUAUUUAGCUGGAGUAUGAUAGAGGAAAGCGGAAUACAUAGUGUAGAGGUGAAAUUCGUAGAUAUUAUGUAGAACACCAGUUGCGAAGGCGGCUUUCUGGAUCAUUACUGACGCUGAGAUACGAAAGUAUGGGUAGCGAAGAGGAUUAGAUACCCUCGUAGUCCAUACCAUAAACGAUGAUUAUUAGAUGUGGGGAAUUAUUUCUCUGUAUCAUAGCUAACGCGUUAAAUAAUCCGCCUGGGGAGUACGACCGCAAGGUUAAAACUCAAAUGAAUUGACGGGGACCCGCACAAGCGGUGGAGCAUGUGGUUUAAUUCGAAGCAACGCGCAGAACCUUACCAACCCUUGACAUGUUUGUCGCGAGACUAAGAAAUUAGUCUCU
rnacentral:rRNA from 1 species